rnacentral:lncRNA from 1 species
GUUUUUAGGUGAACAAAAAUCCUGCUAUGGAAUUUGUACACAUGUGCUAUCCUUCCAUCUAGCUUUUAUGGAAAUGAAGAAUAUAUCUAUAUAAGAAAAUCACUGUGCAAGUUCCCAGCCAUUACUUCACUCACCUGGGAAUGAGGAAUAUCUCAGCUGCAACUAAUGACAUAAAUAGGGUGGAAAUGGGGACUACUCUACCGCUUUACAGCAGAGUAGAAGACUACUUCUGUGCUGGCUGUUUGGCUUGAAGAUCAGAU